rnacentral:lncRNA from 1 species
UAUAUAUAGUCUGGCUACUAUACUUUUAUAAGUAUCGGCUUCCUUAUACUCAUAAGUUUUCUACCCUUAGAUGUAUUCCACUAACCAUUUCCACCCGUUAGAUUAUACUAAUCAACCAACUACCCACUCAACCCUAGGAGACCACUAUCAUAUUAAGUGGAGACCACCAUCAUCCUAACCACAUAUUACAUCAAUCAAUAAUUAAAAAUUUAUGAGUACAAGGGGGCAUAUACUCACUCAUAAGAGUAUAGUAGUCCCAGCCUAUAUAGAGUCUGGCUACUAUACUUUUAUGAGUAUUGGCUCCCUUAUAUUCAUAAGUUUUCGGCCCUUAGAUUUAUUCCACUGAUCAUUUCCACCCAUUAGAUCAUACUAAUCAACCAACUACCCACUCAACCCUAGGAGACAACUAUCAUUUUAAGUGGGGACCACUAUCAUCCUAACCACACAUUACAUCAAACAAUGGUUAAAAAUUUAUGAGUACAAGGGGGCCUAUACUCAUAAGAGUAUAGUAGCCCCANAGAUCAUACUAAUCAACCAACUACCCACUCAACCCUAGGAGACCACUAUCAUUUUAAGUGGGGACCACUAACAUCCUAACCACACAUUACAUCAAUUAAUGAUUAAAAAUUUAUGAGUACAAGAGGGCCUAUACUAAUAAGAGUAUAGUAGCCCCAGCCGAUAUAUAGAGUCCGCCUACUAUACUUUUAUGAAUAUUGGCUCCCUUAUAUUUAUAAAUUUUCGGCCCUUAGAUUUAUUCCAUUGAUGCUUUUUUUUAAGCAAAUAUUUGGUAUAUGUAUA